CGGGGCGUAGCGCAGCCUGGUUCAGCGCGCCGCGUUCGGGACGCGGAGGUCGGUGGUUCAAAUCCACUCGCCCCGA
rnacentral:tRNA from 1 species